rnacentral:rRNA from 1 species
AGAGUUUGAUCCUGGCUCAGGACGAACGCUGGCGGCGCGCCUAACACAUGCAAGUCGAACGAGCGAGAGAGAGCUUGCUUUCUUGAGCGAGUGGCGAACGGGUGAGUAACGCGUGAGGAACCUGCCUCAAAGAGGGGGACAACAGUUGGAAACGACUGCUAAUACCGCAUAAGCCCACGGCUCGGCAUCGAGCAGAGGGAAAAGGAGCAAUCCGCUUUGAGAUGGCCUCGCGUCCGAUUAGCUAGUUGGUGAGGUAACGGCCCACCAAGGCGACGAUCGGUAGCCGGACUGAGAGGUUGAACGGCCACAUUGGGACUGAGACACGGCCCAGACUCCUACGGGAGGCAGCAGUGGGGAAUAUUGCACAAUGGGGGAAACCCUGAUGCAGCGACGCCGCGUGGAGGAAGAAGGUCUUCGGAUUGUAAACUCCUGUUGUUGAGGAAGAUAAUGACGGUACUCAACAAGGAAGUGACGGCUAACUACGUGCCAGCAGCCGCGGUAAAACGUAGGUCACAAGCGUUGUCCGGAAUUGCUGGGUGUAAAGGGAGCGCAGGCGGGAAGACAAGUUGGAAGUGAAAUCCAUGGGCUCAACCCAUGAACUGCUUCAAAACUGUUUUUCUUGAGUAGUGCAGAGGUAGGCGGAAUUCCCGGUGUAGCGGUGGAAUGCGUAGAUAUCGGGAGGAACACCAGUGGCGAAGGCGGCCUACUGGGCACCAACUGACGCUGAGGCUCGAAAGUGUGGGUAGCAAACAGGAUUAGAUACCCUGGUAGUCCACACUGUAAACGAUGAUUACUAGGUGUUGGAGGAUUGACCCCUUCAGUGCCGCAGUUAACACAAUAAGUAAUCCACCUGGGGAGUACGACCGCAAGGUUGAAACUCAAAGGAAUUGACGGGGGCCCGCACAAGCAGUGGAGUAUGUGGCUUAAUUCGACGCAACGCGAAGAACCUUACCAAGUCUUGACAUCCUGCGACGCACAUAGAAAUAUGUGUUUCCUUCGGGACGCAGAGACAGGUGGUGCAUGGUUGUCGUCAACUCGUGUCGUGAGAUGUUGGGUUAAGUCCCGCAACGAGCGCAACCCUUAUGGUCAGUUACUACGCAAGAGGACUCUGGCCAGACUGCCGUUGACAAAACGGAGGAAGGUGGGGAUGACGUCAAAUCAUCAUGCCCUUUAUGACUUGGGCUACACACGUACUACAAUGGCGUUAAACAAAGAGAAGCAAGACCGCGAGGUGGAGCAAAACUCAGAAACAACGUCCCAGUUCGGACUGCAGGCUGCAACUCGCCUGCACGAAGUCGGAAUUGCUAGUAAUCGCAGAUCAGCAUGCUGCGGUGAAUACGUUCCCGGGCCUUGUACACACCGCCCGUCACACCAUGAGAGCCGGGGGGACCCGAAGUCGGUAGUCUAACCGCAA